UACGUAGGGGGCAAGCGUUGUCCGGAUUUAUUGGGCGUAAAGAGCGUGUAGGCGGUCAGGUAGGUCCGUUGUGAAAACUCGAGGCUCAACCUCGAGACGCCGAUGGAAACCAUCUGACUAGAGUCCGGAAGAGGAGAGUGGAAUUCCUGGUGUGAAGCGGUGAAAUGCGCAGAUAUCAGGAAGAACACCCGUGGCUAAGGCGGCUCUCUGGGACGGUACUGACGGCUGAGACGCGAAAGCGUGGGGAGCAAAC
rnacentral:rRNA from 1 species